UACAGAGGUCUCAAGCGUUGUUCGGAUUCAUUGGGCGUAAAGGGUGCGUAGGCGGCUUGGCAAGUCGGGUGUGAAACCUCCAGGCUCAACCUGGAGACGCCACCCGAUACUGCCAUGGCUAGAGUCCGGUAGGGGACCACGGAAUACCUGGUGUAGCGGUGAAAUGCGCAGAUAUCAGGUGGAACACCGGUGGCGAAGGCGGUUACCUGGAGCUUUGCUGACGCUGAUGCGCGAAAGCGUGGGGAGCGAUCCGG
rnacentral:rRNA from 1 species